CCCAGACUCCUACGGGAGGCAGCAGUGGGGGAUAUUGCACAAUGGGGGGAACCCUGAUGCAGCGACGCCGCGUGGGUGAAGAAGUAUUUCGGUAUGUAAAGCCCUAUCGGCAGGGAAGAAAUUGGACGGUACCUGACUAAGAAGCCCCGGCUAACUACGUGCCAGCAGCCGCGGUAAUACGUAGGGGGCAAGCGUUAUCCGGAUUCACUGGGUGUAAAGGGAGCGUAGACGGCCAUGCAAGCCUGGAGUGAAAGCCCGGGGCCCAACCCCGGGACUGCUCUGGGAACUGUGCGGCUGGAGUGCGGGAGGGGCAGGCGGAAUUCCUGGUGUAGCGGUGAAAUGCGUAGAUAUCAGGAGGGACACCGGCGGCGAAGGCGGCCUGCUGGACUGCAACUGACGUUGAGGCCCGAAAGCGUGGGGAGCAAACAGGAUUAGAUACCCUAGUACC
rnacentral:rRNA from 1 species